GGUUGAUUGAUAUGACACUCAUAAAGAGUGUUUGAUUUAUUAUGUUUUAAUGGUUUAUUGCUUAAAUCGGUCAUGCUUUAUGAUCUUGAAUAUUGAUUGUUGAACUACUCGUUUUGCUUGUGUUUGGGGUGGGGUUUAGAAUGACAGGUAGCUGUAUAUGCUAGAUAGGGAACCCUGACUCACUGAGUAAAACUAGUUCACUCACUCCUCACAUCCUUUUGCAGGUGACCAGUAGAAAGGACCAUAACGCUCGCGAAACUGUAGGAGCUGGUGUAGAAUGGAUAUCUUUUGCUAAAGACUCGUUUUCAAGAUAUAGGAAUGUAUGUUUUACUUUUGGCUGCGUCCAUGGACCCUAUGUAUAAUAUUUUGGGCUUGUGAACUUCGUGUUUUAUAUAUAUGAAAAAAAUAUGUUUAUAAUCGUGACGUGU
rnacentral:lncRNA from 1 species